rnacentral:pre_miRNA from 1 species
CUAAUACUCCCUCCGUUCCGAAUUACUUGUCGCAGAUAUAGAUGUAUUUUAGUUCUAGAUACAUCUAUUUCUGCGACGAGUAAUUUGGAACGGAGGGAGUAUAAG